GACGAACGCUGGCGGCGUGCUUAACACAUGCAAGUCGAACGGAAAGGCCCUGCUUUUGUGGGGUGCUCGAGUGGCGAACGGGUGAGUAACACGUGAGUAACCUGCCCUUGACUUUGGGAUAACUUCAGGAAACUGGGGCUAAUACCGGAUAGGAGCUCCUGCUGCAUGGUGGGGGUUGGAAAGUCUCGGCGGUUGGGGAUGGACUCGCGGCUUAUCAGCUUGUUGGUGGGGUAGUGGCUUACCAAGGCUUUGACGGGUAGCCGGCCUGAGAGGGUGACCGGCCACAAUGGGACUGAGAUACGGCGCAGACUCCUACGGGAGGCAGCAGUGGGGAAUAUUGCACAAUGGGCGGAAGCCUGAUGCAGCGACGCCGCGUGCGGGAUGACGGCCUUCGGGUUGUAAACCGCUUUCGCCUGUGACGAAGCGUGAGUGACGGUAAUGGGUAAAGAAGCACCGGCUAACUACGUG
rnacentral:rRNA from 1 species